rnacentral:rRNA from 1 species
UACGUAGGGUGCAAGCGUUGUCCGGAAUUAUUGGGCGUAAAGAGCGUGUAGGCGGCCCGAUUAGUCCGCUGUGAAAGUCCAGGGCUCAACCCUGGAAUGCCGGUGGAUACUGUCGGGCUAGAGUCCGGAAGGGGCGAGUGGAAUUCCUAGUGUAGCGGUGAAAUGCGCAGAUAUCAGGAGGAACACCAAUGGCGAAGGCAGCUCGCUGGGACGUGGCUGACGCUGAGAACGCGAAAGCGUGGGGAGCAAACAGG